rnacentral:rRNA from 1 species
AGGACGAACGCUGGCGGCGCGCUUAACACAUGCAAGUGGAGCGACGAACCAGGGCUUGCCCUGGGGCAGAGCCGCGAACGGGUGAGUAACACGUGGGUUACCUGCCUCGAUGACCGGGACAACCCGAGGAAACUCGGGCUAAUACCGGAUGUGCCCGCAAGGGGAAAGGAAGCUUCGGCCUCCGCAUCGAGAUGGGCCCGCGGCCCAUUAGCUUGUUGGUGAGGUAACGGCUCACCAAGGCUUCGAUGGGUAGCUGGUCUGAGAGGACGAUCAGCCACACUGGGACUGAGACACGGCCCAGACUCCUACGGGAGGCAGCAGUGGGGAAUCUUGCGCAAUGCGCGAAAGCGUGACGCAGCAACGCCGCGUGGGGGAAGAAGGCUUUCGGGUUGUAAACCCCGUUUCAGUUGGGACGAAGCUUCGGCAGUUAAUAGCUGACCGGAGUGACGGUACCUUCACAAGAAGCACCGGCUAACGUACGUGCCAGCAGCCGC